rnacentral:rRNA from 1 species
AUUGAACGCUGGCGGCAGGCUUAACACAUGCAAGUCGAGCGAGCGGCGGACGGGUGAGUAAUGUCUGGGAAACUGCCUGAUGGAGGGGGAUAACUACUGGAAACGGUAGCUAAUACCGCAUACCAUCAGAUGUGCCCAGAUGGGAUUAGCUUGUUGGUGGGGUAAUGGCUCACCUAGGCGACGAUCCCUAGCUGGUCUGAGAGGAUGACCAUCCACACUGGAACUGAGACCCGGGCCAGACUCCUACGGGAGGCAGCAGUGGGGAAUAGUGCACAAUGGGCGCAAGCCUGAUGCAGCCAUGCCGCGUGUAUGAAGAAGGCCUUCGGGUUGUAAAGCACUUUCAGCGGGGAGGCGUUACUCGCAGAAGAAGCACCGGCUAACUCCGUGCCAGCAGCCGCGGUAAUUC